rnacentral:rRNA from 1 species
CAAUAGCGUAUAUUUAAGUUGUUGCAGUUAAAAAGCUCGUAGUUGGAUUUCGGAUGGGACUUGCCGGUCCGUCGUUUCGAUGUGCACUGGCCAGUCCUAUCUUGUUGUCGGGGACUAGCUCCUGGGCUUCACUGUCCGGGACUAGGAGCUGACGAGGUCACUUUGAGUAAAUUAGAGUGUUCAAAGCAAGCCUACGCUCUGAAUACAUUAGCAUGGAAUAACACGAUAGGACUCUGGCCUAUCUUGUUGGUCUGUGAGACCAGAGUAAUGAUUAAGAGGGACAGUCGGGGGCAUUCGUAUUUCAUUGUCAGAGGUGAAAUUCUUGGAUUUAUGAAAGACGAACUUCUGCGAAAGCAUUUGUCAAGGAUGUUUUCAUUAA